GGGCCUGUAGCUCAGUUGGUAGAGCGUUGCAUUCGCAUUGCAAAGGUCAGGGGUUCGACUCCCCUCAGGUCCA
rnacentral:tRNA from 1 species